GGACUCUUUACAAGGUGCUGCAUGGUUGUCGUCAGCUCGUGCCGUGAGGUGUCAGGUUAAGUCCUAUAACGAGCGCAACCCCUGUUGUUAGUUGCCAGCGUGUAAUGUCGGGAACUCUAGCAAGACUGCCAGUGCAAACUGUGAGGAAGGUGGGGAGGACGUCAAAUCAUCACGGCCCUUACGU
rnacentral:rRNA from 1 species